UCCCUGGUGGUCCAGUGGUUAGGACUGAGCACUGUCACUGCUGUGGCCCGGGUUCAAUCCCUGGCUGGGGAA
rnacentral:tRNA from 1 species